rnacentral:misc_RNA from 1 species
GUGAAUCAUCAAAUCUUUGAACGCAAAUUGCACUCUCUUCGGAGAUUAUGCCUGUUUGAGGGUCAGUGUUAAUAAAAAUCGGUGUGUUGCUUCUUUGUUACGCUCCGGAGUUUGGGUCAUCUUAAUAUCCUUUUGGUUUUAAGAGGCUUAAAAUUGACUUUUUUUGCGCAUUUUAGAUGUACAUAAAUUCUUUUUUUUAUUCGUCUGUCUUAAUGCUCAAAAACCUUUUAGAUUGGACCAUGUCGGUGUGUUUCC